rnacentral:rRNA from 1 species
CUGGCGGCGUGCCUAAUACAUGCAAGUCGAACGGUCUUUUCUAUGGAAGCUUGCUUCCACUGAGAAGAUAGUGGCGAACGGGUGAGUAACACGUGGGUAACCUGCCCAUAAGAGGGGGAUAACAUCCGGAAACGGGUGCUAAUACCGCAUAGUUUUCUUGAUCGCAUGAUUGAGAAAGGAAAGACGGCCUUUGUGCUGUCGCUUAUGGAUGGACCCGCGGCGUAUUAGUUAGUUGGUGAGGUAACGGCUCACCAAGACGAUGAUACGUAGCCGACCUGAGAGGGUGAUCGGCCACAUUGGGACUGAGACACGGCCCAAACUCCUACGGGAGGCAGCAGUAGGGAAUCUUCCGCAAUGGACGAAAGUCUGACGGAGCAACGCCGCGUGAGUGAAGAAGGUUUUCGGAUCGUAAAACUCUGUUGUCAGAGAAGAACAAGUUGGAGAGUAACUGCUCCAGCCUUGACGGUAUCUGACCAGAAAGCCACGGCUAACUACGUGCCAGCAGCCGCGGUAAUACGUAGGUGGCAAGCGUUGUCCGGAUUUAUUGGGCGUAAAGCGAGCGCAGGCGGUUCCUUAAGUCUGAUGUGAAAGCCCACGGCUCAACCGUGGAAGGUCAUUGGAAACUGGGGAACUUGAGUGCAGAAGAGGAGAGUGGAAUUCCAUGUGUAGCGGUGAAAUGCGUAGAUAUAUGGAGGAACACCAGUGGCGAAGGCGACUCUCUGGUCUGUAACUGACGCUGAGGCUCGAAAGCGUGGGGAGCAAACAGGAUUAGAUACCCUGGUAGUCC